rnacentral:rRNA from 1 species
GCAUAUCAUAAGCGGAGGAAAAAGAACCCAACAGGGAUUGCCCCAGUAACGGCGAGUGAAGCGGCAAUAGCUCAAAUUUGAAAUCUGGCUCUUUCAGGGUCCGAGUUGUAAUUUGCAGAGGGCGCUUUGGCGUCGGCAGCAGCCUAAGUUCCUUGGAACAGGUCAUCAUAGAGGGUGAGAAUCCCGUAUGUGGGCUGCUUGUCUUCGCCGUGUAAAGCCCCUUCGAUGAGUCGAGUUGUUUGGGAAUGCAGCUCUAAAUGGGAGGUAAAUUUCUUCUAAAGCUAAAUAUUGGCCAGAGACCGAUAGCGCACAAGUAGAGUGAUCGAAAGAUGAAAAGCACUUUGGAAAGAGAGUCAAAAAGCACGUGAAAUUGUUGAAAGGGAAGCGCUUGCAGCCAGACGUGCCCGUAGUUGCUCAUCGGGGGGUUCUCCCCCGUGUACUCUUCUAUGGGCAGGCCAGCAUCAGUCCGGGCGGUUGGAGAAAGACCUGUGUCAUGUAGCUGUUUUCGGGCAGUGUUAUAGGGCAGGUGGAAUGCAACCAGCCUGGACUGAGGUCCGCGCAUCUGCUAGGAUGCUGGCGUAAUGGCUGUAAGCGGCCCGUCUUGAAACACGGACCAAGGAGUCUAACAUCUAUGCGAGUGUUUGGGUGUCAAGCCCGAGCGCGUAAUGAAAGUGAACGGAGGUGGGAACCUUUUAGGUGCACCAUCGACCGAUCCUGAUGUCUUCGGAUGGAUUUGAGUAAGAGCAUAGCUGUUGGGACCCGAAAGAUGGUGAACUAUGCCUGAAUAGGGUGAAGCCAGAGGAAACUCUGGUGGAGGCUCGCAGCGGUUCUGACGUGCAAAUCGAUCGUCAAAUUUGGGCAUAGGGGCGAAAGACUAAUCGAACUAUCUAGUAGCUGGGUACUGCGGA